ACUGAACAUUCUGGAAAAGAAUAUUUUAAAUGUUCUCAACACCAUUCAGGUUCUGGCAAGAAAGAAGUUUUCAGACCCCAAAACAGUGGAGGGUGGAGCCCAGGAAGGAGAGCUGAGACUGAAAAGCUCCUCUGCCCUGAAGGGUUUUGGGACGUGGGCAGCACAAGUGUCGGUCUCCACGGAUCUAAGGGUCUUGUGGGACCAGCCGUGGAGCCCAGACCCACGCAAAACGGGGAAAGAUUUCAACAAUUGUAUGAAUAUCAGGCUCUGCAGAACGUAGGACUGGCCCUGCUGCGGGGGUCAGGCGGACAAGAGGCAACCAGCUAUAUCCCCGGCUCCUCCCGGCCUGCAGGGAACACUGCUGGGCAAGGCAGUGACCAAAGAAGGUCAGGAUUCACAUGGCUGUGCGGCACAAAUUCACAUCACCUGGUGGUCUAGCGAAUCGCAAGCUGGGAUUAUCCACCAACAAGAAAUUUAACAAGUGUUAGUGAGGACGUGGAGUAAAAGGAGCCCUUGUGCGCUGCUGGUGGGAAUGUAAAUUGGUGCGGCCACUAUGGAGAACAGUAUGGAGCUUCCUCAGAACUAAAAAUAACGCCAUCAAGCACUUUCGCUUCUGAGUACUCAUCUGAGAGAAAAGGAAACACCGAUUUGAAGUGAUUCAUGCACCCCUAUGUUCACUGAAGCAUUGUUUACGGUAGUGAAGACAUGGAAACAGCCUAUACAUCCAUCAAUAGAUGAAUGAGUAAAGAAAAUGCGAUCUGCAUAUUAAACAGGGCAUCUUUCAGCUAUAAAAGAGAGGAAAAUCCUGCUUUUGCAACACACGGAGGGAACAGCGACAUCGUGCUAAGUGAAAUAAUUUAGACAGAGAAAGACACAUACCGUAUGAUCUCACGUAUAUGUUGACUCUUUAAAAAAUCAAAAAUAAAAUAAACUGAUAGAUACGGAGAACUGAUUGGCGGUUCCCAGACGUGGAGCACUGGGUCAUGGGCAAAAUGGGUAACAGUGGUCAAAAGGUACAAACUUCUGUCAUAAAAUAAAUAAAUCGUGGGGGUGUAAUGU